CAUCUAUUAUUUAUUUAUACAAUAUAUUUUUGUUAUCUGUGUUAAAGAAAAUGUAAGUUGUGUUCUGUUGGAAUGGGAGAAGUUUGGUACGCUUCUUUGUGGUGUUUUGUUUCACCCACUACCUGUGAACAUGGUCGGCCUGGCGGGUUGUCUAAGCCGGCCCACCAAUGUACUGUGGGUUGUUGUGUUGGGUGGUCCUCUGUGCUACAGGUUAGUUGUGUUUAUUUAUAUACCUUGUGCUGUGAAUUAGUAUACUGUGGUGAAGGUUACAAGCAAAGGAUGUGUUUAGUAGCUAAGGUAAUACAAGUGAUAUUAUUGUUUGCCAGACGGAGAAUGUAGGGACGCCCUGGACUUCAUGUCGGUUGGUGUGUUGGUUGGUCCUCCGUGCUACAGACAGAGUUGUGAGGACGCCCUGGACUGGAUGAUAGUUGGGGUGGUGACAUGUCAGGUGUGCUACGAGGAUUCGAAGAGCGUCAGUGUGGGCCACUGAAGAAUAUCUCGACGAGUUUUCGUCGAGAACAAGCCUUGAUAUCGAGGAAGAUCAGCGAGGACAGUCUUCGAGGAUGAGCACGACUUGAGAGGACGAUCUUCGAGGACAAGGACGACCUGCAAGCACAUUUCAGCGGACGAGGACAAGCUUCGAAAACGAUCUUGGGAAGAAGCCUUGACAGAGAGGAUGACCUGAGAGGAUGAUCUUCGAAGACGAGAACGAUUUGCGGGGACGAGCUUCAAGGGCCAACGGAAGUCACUUCAUGCUGUUAGCCGGCAUAAGAUGGAUGUUAUAGAGCUGGUUCUAUUUUUCAAGGCAGUCACAGCGCGUCAGUCGUGGUGUGAAUAUGGAUGUGGAACUCCUUAUCAGCUUAGUUCGAGAGCGCCCUGCUGUAUAAGAUUCCACAGACCGCAGCCACCGAGAUCGUGAUGCCGUUGCUAGACUGUGGAGAGAGAUUGCUGAUGAAAUGAAAUAUCCAGGUCGCUGGGCGAAGACUACGAUGGGGAACCCUGCAUGCACUGCGAGGUCUCCACGGAGGAACUCCUCGUCCAUUAUCUACUGGACUGCGAAGCAACGGACCCACUAAGGACGCUGGCAGAGAGGAACGGCUACAAAGACAGUAGCAACAGACGGACAUCCACAGCGAGACUAUCGAGGUAUGUAACCAAUGACUACGAGACACUACUGAAAUACACACAUAGGUACGAACCCCCCAGGUAGUGUUCACAGACACAGACAGGGCACAGAGUUAACUCACACUACUGCUUUCGAUCUGUGACGGUCUGUUAUUAGCUGGGGCCCCAAUAGUGUGCGACCAACAUCGGGAAUUAAUUACCAGGGAUCACUGCUGCGGGGUGUAAUACAAUUGUGUGUGGCACAUUGCAAAGUGAAGUACAUAACUGCAGUGGUGUGAUCGGAGCUGGGACCUGACUGACUGAUGUCUCCCUCGAAAGCGCCAGGGAAGGCUGCCGUCCCACAGCCGUAAUAAUGUUUUUUUUUUUUUCUAUCUAUUUAUUUUGUUUGUUCUAUUUUGUUUAUUAUUAUAUUAUUUUAUUUUUCUUAUUUUAUCUAUUCAUUUUUUUCCUUCUUUUCCACAACCUAAAACUUUCCUUCUAUGAUUUGGAGGAGGCAACGAUAACUCAAUGACCCCUUUGCUUUACAGAGGCCUCCUUCCUUUCUCACUCCUACAGUCGCCUCCGUUCCCCUCUCCCUCCCACACCAGCUACACUCUUCGCCGUGGUUCGGAUAAGGCCAAUAUAUAAACAAGGCAGACAAGCCAGGGCAAGGCAGACAGUAUUUUGGCCAGCCAUCGACUCUCAUAUCAAGUCCACCAUAGAUGCCUGUGAGUCAUGAAGUACUACAGCCUAGCUAGCAACAGGAACCUCUUCUCUGAGACGACCACCCAAUGAGACCCUUUGAGUCCGUCUCCGCUGACUUCUUCCACGUUGCAGGGAAGUCAUUCCUCGUCAUAGCGGACAGACAGUCUGGCUGGCCUAUGGUCGUGCCCUGUGGCCCUGACACUACGGCUAUAAGAGUCAUCAAGAUGUUCUGCAGGUACUUCCGCAAAGUUGGCGUUCCCCUCCACCAUUGCACAGAUGAGGAGGCCACCGUUCAACAGCGGCAACUUCCGCAGCUUUAUGGUAGGCUGUGGUGUUCACCACGUGGUU